GACGAACCGUGCGAACGUUGUUCGGAUUCACUGGGCUUAAAGGGCGCGUAGGCGGGCGAUCAAGUCAGGGGUGAAAUCUUUCGGCUCAACCGGAAAAGUGCCUCUGAGACUGACCGUCUGGAGGGAGGCAGGGGCAUGUGGAACUUCCGGUGGAGCGGUGAAAUGCGUAGAUAUCGGAAGGAACGCCGGUGGCGAAAGCGACGUGCUGGACCUCUUCUGACGCUGAGGCGCGAAAGCCAGGGGAGCAAACGGG
rnacentral:rRNA from 1 species